UUUAUUUUAACGUUUUUUUUUUCUUCUUCUUUUUAGUCAUCCAGUGAAUGUCUCCCCGCCAGGAAAUAAUCCCUCAAAUUAACGUCGAGACGUCACGUUCACGUCUUCUAAUUUAGGAAGUCGUCAGUGAGUUAAAUUUCCUCAUCCGCUCACUGAGAGGACGGGCGCCAGGAAUAUCUGGCAGAAAUAUCGUCACGUGACACAUCUCUAUCGAAGAUUCGCUCAUUAGUUGCGGGUGAAGGUGCAUGAAGAUAUCUUCCACAUGGUCAUCAUCAUUUAGUAAAUCUCAUUAUGUUCAUAUCCAGCUGGACGGAUUAAAGCAAGUGAGCAGGUAUUUUAUGUCUGCUGCUAGCUGCUGAAUAAACACCCACUUGGAAUCACUUGUUCGAAAGCCUUGUUUAAUUUCUUUACAGGGCGUUCUGGUCCCUUUUCACUCCUUCAUUGGCUUUUUUUUCACAACAGUUGAGUUAUUUUUGUGCUGGUCAGCACUGUUCUCUACUGCUGGCUGCACAGAGCAGAGAGACUCACUUGUUUUCUCACCAUGAGGCUCGACUUCCUCUCACUGAACACCGGGAGGAACCGGCCGGUCGUCGGAUCUCGGGUCGAAUCACCUGCAGUGACCCACAACCUUGAAACAGCAGGGACGUCCACGCUCGGACAUUUGACAUCUCAACAAACAAGCAGCAUUUUACAAAGUCUGUCGUUUCAUUUCAAACAGUUUUACUUUUACAUUUGUAAAAAGAAACAUCAUGAGCAUCAUCAGCAUGACUCCGCGACCUCUGAGAAACAACGACAGGCUGUUUAAACACUGCAGCAAAACCAACAUGACAGCAAAGAGGAAGAAGAGAUGGAGAUAAAGGAAUAAAGACAAGGAGAUGUGAGGAGAGAGGGAUGAAGAGGAAAGGGGGUAUUAAUGAAAGAGGAGUCCAGUUUGGAAGGAAAACGUGCAGCUCACUUGGUGUUCGAUGUGUUCGAGUGCCAAACGCUCAUCAAUUCUCCAACUUGGACUCUCACUUCGACAGCACGGUGACACCGUUCACCGACCAACCUGGAAACGUCCCAUAUGCCGGAUUCCCCCAGCAGCGCAUGAACGCUGCAUGAUAGUUUUGGCUGAAAUUAAAAGACAAAACUGUCCAAUGGCAAAAAUCCCAGGUACUGAUGCAUCGCCAGAAUCAACUGAUCAGCUCUCUCCUCUAAAAGUCUCUGCGGAUCUCUUGCUAAAAACAAACAGCAGAAAAUUACUUUUCACAGAUAACGAUGUGUGUUGUGCACCAUUUUUCAGACAGAACUCGCAGUGCAAAUGUGUCUGAAUUUAACAAAUGUUCAGCAGUGGAAACCAACUUAUUGAAACUUCAAGAGGCCACUUUGUGUUGCAGUUUUAGUCGGACUUCAAAUUAAAUUAUUUCUAAAUACGAGGAUGUAUCGGUCUGCUAGAGGCCCUUGUCGUGCAUGUGUACUUGUAAAAAGGUGAUUAGAAACAUGGUUACCCAAAUACUUUGUAAAAUAAUUAGCCUUCUCCUGGAAAAAUCUACCAGUUUCUCUAAUCUGCUUGGAGAAAUUUAUCUUGCACUAACUUGCAUCUAAGGUUUGUUGUAAAGCAGAAACCCCUCAGACAAUGAUCACCUUUUCAUGAUGUAGGGGUUUAUUCCUCUUGUGAC